GACGAACGCUGGCGGCGUGCCUAAUACAUGCAAGUAGAACGCUGAAGGAGGAGCUUGCUUCUCUGGAUGAGUUGCGAACGGGUGAGUAACGCGUAGGUAACCUGCCUGGUAGCGGGGGAUAACUAUUGGAAACGAUAGCUAAUACCGCAUAAUAGCAGUUGUUGCAUGACAACUGUUUGAAAGGUGCAAUUGCACCACUACCAGAUGGACCUGCGUUGUAUUAGCUAGUUGGUGGGGUAACGGCUCACCAAGGCGACGAUACAUAGCCGACCUGAGAGGGUGAUCGGCCACACUGGGACUGAGACACGGCCCAGACUCCUACGGGGGGCAGCAGUAGGGAAUCUUCGGCAAUGGACGGAAGUCUGACCGAGCAACGCCGCGUGAGUGAAGAAGGUUUUCGGAUCGUAAAGCUCUGUUGUAAGAGAAGAACGAGUGUGAGAGUGGAAAGUUCACACUGUGACGGUAUCUUACCAGAAAGGGACGGCUAACUACGUG
rnacentral:rRNA from 1 species